rnacentral:tRNA from 1 species
AAUUCCUUAGCUUAAGUGGUAAAGCGUAUUCUUGAUAAGGAUGUGUUCAGUGUUCAAAUCACUGAGGAAUUA